GACAGGUGGUGCAUGGUUGUCGUCAGCUCGUGUCGUGAGAUGUUGGGUUAAGUCCCGCAACGAGCGCAACCCUUGAUUUUAGUUGCCAGCAUUUAGUUGGGCACUCUAAAGUGACUGCCGGUGCAAGCCGGAGGAAGGUGGGGAUGACGUCAAAUCAUCAUGCCCCUUAUGACCUGGGCUACACACGUGCUACAAUGGAUAGUACAAAGGGUCGCGAAGCCGCGAGGUGGAGCUAAUCCCAUAAAACUAUUCUCAGUUCGGAUUGUAGGCUGCAACUCGCCUACAUGAAGCCGGAAUCGCUAGUAAUCGUGGAUCAGCAUGCCACGGUGAAUACGUUCCCGGGCCUUGUACACACCGCCCGUCACACCACGAGAGUUUGUAACACCCGAAGUCGGUAGGGUAACCUUUAUGGAGCCAGCCGCCGAAGGUGGGACAGAUAAUUGGGGUGAAGUCGUAACAAGGUAGCCGUAUCGGAAGGUGCGGCUGGAUCACCUCCUUU
rnacentral:rRNA from 1 species